rnacentral:rRNA from 1 species
UACGAAGGGGGCUAGCGUUGUUCGGAAUCACUGGGCGUAAAGGGCGCGUAGGCGGCCGUUCAAGUCGGGGGUGAAAGCCUGUGGCUCAACCACAGAAUGGCCUUCGAUACUGGACGGCUCGAGACCGGAAGAGGUCAGUGGAACUGCGAGUGUAGAGGUGAAAUUCGUAGAUAUUCGCAAGAACACCAGUGGCGAAGGCGGACUCACUG